GGAUAGUUGGGGGCAUUUGUAUUACAGCGUCAGAGGUGAAAUUCUUGGAUUGCUGUAAGACAAACUACUGCGAAAGCAUUUGCCAAGGAUGUUUUCAUUGAUCAAGAACGAAGGUUAGGGGAUCAAAAACGAUCAGAUACCGUUGUAGUCUUAACAGUAAACUAUGCCGACUGGGGAUCGGACAAGGCUUUAUCAUGACUUGUUCGGCACCCAAAGGGAAACCUUAAGUUUAGGUUCGUGGGGGAGUACGGUCACAAGGCUGAAACCUAAAGGAAUUGACGGAAGGGCACCACCAGGAGUGGAGCCUGCGGCUUAAUUUGACUCAACACGGGGAAACUCACCAGGUCCAGACACAAUAAGGAUUGACAGAUUGAUAGCUCUUUCUUGAUCUUGUGGUUGGUGGUGCAUGGCCGUUCUUAGUUGGUGGAGUGAUUUGUCUGGUUAAUUCCGAUAACGAACGAGACCUUCUCCUGCUAAAUAGCCCAGCCGGCUACGGCUGGCUGUUGGCUUCUUAGAGGGACUAUCGACGUUUAGUCGAUGGAAGUUGGAGGCAAUAACAGGUCUGUGAUGCCCUUAGAUGUUCUGGGCCGCACGCGCGCUACACUGACCGAGCCAGCGAGUCUAUCACCUUAUCCGGAAGGAUUGGGUAAUCUUGUGAAACUCGGUCGUGAUGGGGAUAGAGCAUUGCAAUUAUUGCUCUUCAACGAGGAAUUCCUAGUAAGCGUAUGUCAUCAGCAUGCGUUGAUUACGUCCCUGCCCUUUGUACACACCGCCCGUCGCUACUAC
rnacentral:rRNA from 1 species